rnacentral:misc_RNA from 1 species
AAGUUAAUGAUUUAAAUCCUGAGGUAGGAUGUGUUAUUAUGUUGCGACACUUGAAAGUUUUAUUGUGUCUAUCAUUUUUGGGUUUGGUAAAACUCUGUUAUGAUGAUGCUUAUUUUGGCUUGCUAGUUUCUUCAUUUUCUUAAAUUUUUGGUGUUUUCAAGGACUGCUGCUGUUUGCGUAUGUCAAUUAUGGAUAUCUUUAUAAUAUCCUGUUUUAUACCAUGAUUAAGGAGACCACAUCAUCUAUACGACUGUUUUGCUUAGCAACCAUGUUGCUUAUUCACUUAACAGCAAUUUUUGCAAAAAUAACACUCUGUCUUAUGUUAACGGGUCAUGAUAUAGGUCUCAUUUCCUUGCUUGCAUUAUUGAUAUCAUAGUUCAUAAAAAUAUGCCAUGAAUCU